AUUGAACGCUGGCGGCAUGCUUUACACAUGCAAGUCGAACGGUAACAGGCCGCAAGGUGCUGACGAGUGGCGAACGGGUGAGUAAUGCAUCGGAACGUGCCCAGUCGUGGGGGAUAACUACUCGAAAGAGUAGCUAAUACCGCAUACGAUCUAUGGAUGAAAGCGGGGGACCGUAAGGCCCCGCGCGAUUGGAGCGGCCGAUGUCAGAUUAGGUAGUUGGUGGGGUAAAGGCUCACCAAGCCAACGAUCUGUAGCUGGUCUGAGAGGACGACCAGCCACACUGGGACUGAGACACGGCCCAGACUCCUACGGGAGGCAGCAGUGGGGAAUUUUGGACAAUGGGCGCAAGCCUGAUCCAGCAAUGCCGCGUGCAGGAAGAAGGCCUUCAGGUUGUAAACUGCUUUUGUACGGAACGAAACGGCUCUGGUUAAUACCCGGGGCUAAUGACGGUACCGUAAGAAUAAGCACCGGCUAACUACGUG
rnacentral:rRNA from 1 species